rnacentral:rRNA from 1 species
GACAGAGGGUGCAAACGUUGUUCGGAAUUACUGGGCGUAAAGCGCGUGUAGGCGGCCCUGCAAGUCGGAUGUGAAAUCCCACGGCUCAACCGUGGAAGUGCAUUCGAAACUGCAGGGCUAGAGUCCUGGAGAGGAAGGUGGAAUGCUUGGUGUAGAGGUGAAAUUCGUAGAUAUCAAGCGGAACACCGGUGGCGAAGGCGGCCUUCUGGACAGUGACUGACGCUGAGACGGCGAAAAGCGUGGGGAGCAAACGGGG